rnacentral:lncRNA from 1 species
GAUUUCCACUUCCAAACCCUAAUUCUUUCACUUCUUCUUCCUCUCUCUCUCUCUCUCUCUCUCGAAUUCGAAAUCGAAGAUCUCAGACUCAAGAUCCCGGUAAAUUUAACAUUUCUUAUCUCUCUCCAUUCUCUUUUCACAUAGCUUCAUAUUUCUGUUUUUGCACUCGUGUUUGUUUGACGGUGAUUUAGUUAAAUAUGUUUAUCGCGAUUUGCGUUUUACAUAAUUUAUAGAUAUUUUUUCUAAAUUUCAAGUUUCAACUGGUUCUAAUUGCAGGUAAAUCAGGGUUUUGAGAUUGAUACUACUACUGAUGCAGGCGUUUUCUUAUUUGGAAGAACAACUUCGGUUGUGUAUAGACGCGAAGCUGUGAAUAAAAUUGUGAGUGAUGUUUUUUAAUCCUGAUAUGGCAAAUCUACUAGAUGUGUUAUGAGUUAUGAAUGCAUUAAUUAAUAUAUAAAUAAUUGACAUUAGAUUUUUGAAUUCAUGCCAUUUUAUGCUGUUUAAUGUUCUAUACUAGUGGCCCUUGUCUGUGUAAAUGUAAAUAAUAGUUAAAAUUAGGAUUUAAGCUUGUGUUUGAAGCGAGCUGAACUGAAUAAGACCAAUAAAACCAAAUGGUAUUCUAGUAUUCUCACUAAUUUUUUAAAGAAUCCUGACUGUGAAGGAUUUUUUUUAUGAUUUUGCAACAAAAAGUGCAAAGUGGAUGCUAUUUAAAUAGUUAUAAGGGAACCAUCUUUUUUGUUUGCCUAGAGCACCCAAAUUCUAAGGACUGGCCCUGACUUGUCUACCACUGUGAUGAUCUAAUCCUCACAUAUGAAAUAUCUCUGUUGAUAGGGGUAAUAUUUAUUUCUACCGCUUGUGAUAUUUCCUACCAACUUACUAUGCAUAUUUUAUUAAAAUAAACAAACUACUUGACACACACGAGUGAACUACUCUUGAUUGAUUUCUCAUUUCUGCAAUUUAUGUUCUAUUGAUAAUAAUGCAAUAACUAAGGUCAAUGAAUUGCUGUUUUGUGCUUGAACAGGAAUGAUAUACAGGUAAUUGCCACUAGUUGCAAGAUUUUACAUUCUAAACAGAAAAGCACUGUACUUUUUUCAUUCCUUGCUGUGUGCUUGUUUCAUGUUGGGAAAAAAAUAGUUGAAGAUACAAAAGUAUGCAAGUUGUUGAUCUCCUGUCACUCUGGCGGCAAUCCCAUCUGGUGUUGGGAAAGUUUGAUCUUCAAAAUUAGCUUUUGCCAGUAAAUUUCCUAGCAACAUGUCCCGUUAUUCUUGUUUUCACUUUUUUGUCUUUGCAACUCUACUUUCUAUGAAAUGCAAUCUGGCACAAAGUGGACGAGGUGCACGUUCUUGUUGAUCAAAUCCCCUAACACAAACAAAUCCUGAAAUGAAGCAUCAAAAUGUUAAUAGGCAUGGCAAGAUUGAACAUUAAUAUUUCCUAGAUGUAUAUGGGAACUACACUUAUUGUAAUGUGUGAUGGUACUCAUGAUGUUUUUAGGGAACUAUUGGCUGACUAGUCUGGUAUUGAAUCACCUCAGAAUGUUGCAUGUGUGUGCGCAUACACACACAUUUGGAUCAAUCUUUUGAUUGAUGAGGCUUAUUGUUUGCUUUUGGAAUCGUUAUGUUUGUGUAGGUGACGGUUUAAUGUGCUGUUGGAAAACAUGGCCCGGUAAAAAGGAGCUGAGGCUGAAAACAGAUAUGAAACACAGUUUUGACAACCAAAAAAAAUUCACCAAGGCUCAGUAUAUCCACCGGGUUAGUAGAUCAUCAUGUAUUUCCUUUGAGCAACCAAUUGAAAUGUUUUAUUCUUUGCUCUGUUAUUAAAAUUUUGAAGUGUGAUAAGAGAAGAAAUAAAACAAAUAAUUUAAAAUAGUCUGCAUACCUCUCCAAAAGCAAUGCUGAAUUUCUUGCGUUGAGAGACCUAGUAGACAUAAGAGUUUUUAGUGAGUACUUUUAACUUCUUGGAAAAACUGGUUUAGAAUAGAUAUUAGUAGAUGGAUAUGUGGAGUUUUUUUUCUUCCUACCUUUGAAAAUUGACGAUACAGAGGUUCCGAAAUAUACCGUCCUCCUUGGCAAAUUCCAUAUCCAUUCCCUAGGGAUAUCUAUGGGUUUAACGCUGGAUGCGUGGUCCGCAAAUAACUUCAUGAUAAAAAAAGGUUUUAUAGACCCUUGAUGGUGAAUAUUGAAAUUUAAAAUAAGGGGUAUCUGUUAAGGCAAUUGAACAGUAACAAAACCUAGAUUACACUUACCUCAUUAACUUGGAAGUAUGUCCCAUUGAGUGGAAAGCUUCCCCUCAUUGCUGUUCGACACGGUAUCUGUAUAUGGAAUAACAUUUGUGAUAGUUAUUGAAAUUAAUAUAAGGCUAGAAAAUGGAGUGUCUUUCAUGAUCUUGUCUGUAUCCAUGAAUUAAUCAUUACCAGAAGUGUUCCUCUCACAAUUUGUGAAUUAGCUUCUUUAAUGCUGUUGCAUGAAAGGCAUGUCUUGUCAUUGCACAAGUUGGUCGAGUCUUGCGAUCCACACUUCCUUUGUGGUGGUUCAAUGGAAUUUGCAGUCUCACCUAGUAUUCAAAUAUCAUAAAUACGGGUGUCAACAUAUUAUCUGACUUUGACCUAGCAUAUAUGUAAUAUGAUCUUGCCUAUGCUUCAUUUUUGCUUUUUAAUCUGUCUCUUUUAGAUGUACUUGUGCAUUGAUUUUAGUAUACUGGUAGCUAUUGGGCGACUAUUGUUUGCAUAUGUUAAUUAUUAAUUGAGAUUAUUACAGGUAUCAUCUGCUAACCUGGUGACCAUAUUGCAAGAAGAUAUGGACUUGGGUCAUCAGGUUCCCGCUUAUCCAUCUGUAAAUUUUCGUAAACAAACAAAUAUAAAAAAUAUACCAAGCUGAUAACUGCGUGUUUCAGUACAAAGAAAAGAAUAACUAACCUUUUCCAACAGAGGGUGUGAAUCUGGAAGUUCAUAUCUGCAUCAAUCAGUGUUAUAAAGCAGAAUUUAGAUUUCCAUUAAAAAAAUAGAUCAGUCAUAUAGUCUAGAGAGUCAAGGAAUUUAUAACAAGUUUACUUAUGGCAAUGACUACUGUGAUGUUUUUUAAGAACGUCUUCUAGAAAUUAGAGAUGCUGCAUACAAUGCAUGUACUUACACUUGGUGUUCUGUUCUUAGCCGGCUCACAUUCUUCAGUUUUGCUGUAGGGAUAGAAGCAGACUCUGGAUUCCAGGCAACAAGGGCCUUAGACUGGUCACCCUCAUGUUCUUGCAUCUGGUUCUGUACAUUUUUUGCCAAC